rnacentral:lncRNA from 1 species
UAACGAAGCACUCUGGUUACUCCUUGGCAGAGGGGGAGCACUGUGCUGGGGGGAAUCGCACUCAUCUGGACUGCCUGGAUUCCUCGGAGCCAGCAGGUGGAAAGACUAAGUCUGCUGAUACACAGAGAAUGUGGUUGCCCCUUCUCUCAGUGACUCAGUCCCAGGGAGAUCAGAGGCCCUGGUGGCAUGGGCUCACAAGGGGGAUCUCCUGAUCUGUAGGCUGCACAGAUCUGUGGGAAAAGUGUGGUUUCCCAGACAGGGUAGCAUGAUCUCUCACUGCCUCCCUUGGCUGAGGGUGGGAGUUCCCCUUGCCCCGUGUGGCUCCCAGGUGGGCCGUCACACCACUCUACUUUUCCUCACUCUUCAUGAGUCACACCAACCACCUAGUCAGUCCAAAUGAGAGAACCUGGAUACCUCUGUUGACGAUGCAGGAUUCACUUGCCAUUUUGUUCUUCUCUUCGUGGGAACCUCCGAUGACAGCUGUUUCUAGCUCAAGCUGGAAGGGACUUGUCUUAGAUGAGAGUUUGGACUUGGACUUUUGAGUUAAUGGAGGAAUCCAGUGGGAGGGCCAAUACUGUGUUAAAAGUAGAAAUAACAGGUGAGAAUGUUGACAAAAGUAAAACCAUAACAUAGAUGCCUGGUCCUGUAGUAAUGAGGCUUGGACUGGAGAAGACAUUAAAGUUGGGCCACAUCAUGAAACUGGAGAGGUGUGAUGGGUGCAGCAUGAACCAGGACAGAGGAAAGCAGAGAGAAGGUGCUCCACACUGAUGAAGCAGCCAGAGGAAUGGGCCUUGGCAGUGGAGGGGAACAUCUGGGCUCAGGCUCUAGACACGGUCUGCAAUUUAAAAACUGGAUUGUGAUGAGAAGCAUCUGGAGUCUGAUAAAGGCUAAUUACAGUUAAGAAAUAUGAAAAUUGAGAACUCAGGAGAAGAUCAGCUUCUACUACUGCCUGGGCAGAAUAAUCAAGAAAUUAGCACAAACUGAUGGUGACCAUAAAGAGACACUAGAGGAUAAUUGAAGUAUUAACAUUAAAGAUAUUCUGGCAAGUGGUUUGUCCCUUGAGAGUCCAGGCCGUCUUCCUUGCUACAGGACAUAAUACGACUGAAGAGCUUUUCAACAAAGCAAUGGGGGCUCUGUAGGAGGGUUGCCUCAUAAGCUUGGGCUGAGGCUGGGGCAGAGGGAUGCUGGUUAAUGAGUAGGCUUUUCUGCAUGAAGCAUGAGGACCCUGGUUGGGCCCCACACUUUCAGGGUUGCUCUAACAAAGUAAAGCAAGUACAGAGAAUGGCAAUCAGAGAGAAGGGUCUGAACUCACAGCAUGGGAAAACCUUUAGAGAUGGCCAGGCUUUUUGUUGGUUGGGAAAUGGCUCUAGAUGAAUACAGUUGGCAUUUUCAGUUAUUUUAGUGAAGACAUCAUGAGGAGAGGAGAUUGUACAUAGUCUCUAGACUACCAAAGGAAUAGCUAAAACUACAUUUAAAACAUUUUUAACCAAACAUUGUUGAGCUCCUUUCACGCGCCAUACAAGGGACCUACGGUUUCC